AUGAAUCCCUACGCCGACAACCGCUACGCCGACCCCUCCUCCUACCGCGACAGGCGCAGCGACCUGGCCGCGGCCCCUAUACUCGCCCCUCCGGUCCCCGUGGCCCCCGCCCAGAACCCCUACGCCGCCCCGUACACGCCCAUGGCCGCCCCCGUCGGUGGCUUCGGCCAGGGCGGCGGAGGCUACGGCGGUGGCAUGGGAUACGGCGGUAGAGGCAGAGGCGGCGGCGGCGGCGGCGGUGGACCAGGUGGCUUCCGUGGCGGCGGUGGCAGAGGCGGCAGCAACGGGAGGGACGGGCUCGACUCGCUCUCCCUGCCCAAGGCGGACUUCCGGGGCCUUAUACCGUUCGAGAAGAGCUUCUACGUGGAGUGCCCCGCCGUGCAGGCUAUGUCGGACACGGAGGUGGCGCAGUACCGUCAGCUCCGGGAUAUCACCGUGGAAGGCCGGGAGGUGCCCAAGCCUAUCCGCUUCUUCCAUGAAGCUAACUUUCCAGAUUACUGCAUGCAAGCAAUUGCUAAGUCCGGAUUUGUGGAGCCAACGCCUAUCCAAGCUCAGGGAUGGCCGAUGGCCUUGAAGGGCAGGGAUGUGAUUGGUAUUGCAGAAACUGGAUCCGGGAAAACACUAUCUUACAUACUACCUGGUUUGGUUCAUGUUGGUGCACAGCCUCGACUAGAACAAGGUGAUGGCCCGAUUGUCUUGAUCCUUGCCCCAACAAGAGAACUGGCUGUCCAAAUACAGGCAGAAGCUACAAAAUUUGGAUCAUACUCGAGAACUAGAAGCACAUGUAUCUACGGUGGAGCACCUAAGGGACCACAAAUACGUGACCUAAGGAGAGGAGUUGAAAUUGUCAUUGCAACACCAGGCCGGUUGAUCGAUAUGCUGGAAGCUGGUCACACAAACCUACGCCGGGUUACAUACCUUGUCCUGGAUGAGGCAGACCGUAUGCUCGAUAUGGGUUUUGAACCUCAGAUUCGAAAAAUAUUGGCACAAAUCCGUCCGGACAGGCAAACCUUGUACUGGAGUGCCACGUGGCCGAGAGAAGUUGAAACGCUGGCUAGACAAUUUCUACAAAACCCUUACAAGGUAAUGAUAGGAACAGCUGAACUUAAAGCUAACCAUUCCAUACAGCAAAUUGUUGAAGUUAUCUCGGAUCAUGAAAAAUAUCCCAGGCUAAGUAAACUUUUAUCUGAUCUGAUGGAUGGGAGCCGAAUCUUGAUAUUUUUUCAAACAAAGAAGGAAUGUGAUAAGGUCACUCGGCAACUUAGAAUGGACGGAUGGCCAGCAUUAUCUAUACAUGGCGAUAAAGCUCAGUCUGAAAGGGACUAUGUUCUGGCAGAGUUUAAAAAUGGGAAGAGUCCUAUAAUGGCUGCCACAGAUGUAGCGGCACGUGGUCUUGAUGUGAAGGAUAUUAAGUGCGUGAUUAAUUUUGAUUUCCCGACAACUAUCGAGGAUUAUAUUCACAGGAUAGGCCGAACUGGCCGUGCUGGUGCUACCGGGAUGGCAUUUACGUUCUUCACACAUUCCAAUGCAAAAUAUUCAAGGAAUCUCGUUAAGAUCUUGCGCGAAGCUGGGCAGGUUGUGAAUCCAGCGCUAGAAGCUAUGUCCAAGUCCUCUGGUUCUAUGGGAGGAGGAGGCAAUUUCCGGUCAAGAGGCCGAGGUGGGUUUGGUGGUGGGUAUGGUGGUAACCGUUCUGGAUCAAAUUCCAUUCCAGUACGUAGAAGAUACUAA
rnacentral:rRNA from 1 species